GCGGCCCCUCCAUGGCUUCGUCCCGAAAUGGACAGACACGCGAGGGCGCCUGAGGAGAGUGGAGAGCAUACGACUUGGUAGGACACAUCUGUAUGCCUCUGUGGGGGCACCAUAAACUUCUUGCUUUCCUAGGCCUGGGGCUGCAGGUUGCUUUGGGAAUGUCAGAUAUGAAACAAGAGGGACAUUUUCUCCAGACAGAGAUAGCCAUUGCCUUCUUCUUCUAAAGUGAAGCGGGAAGAGACCUAACCUCAUCAAUCUUCAAAGAAAUGCUCCUUGGAAAAAGACUAUCUUAGCCAGCCACACUGGCAUACACCUGUAAUCCCAGGAUUAAUCAAGGCCAGCCUGGACCACACAGUCAGUUCAACACCACCCUCAACUAUAUAGUAAGACCCUGUCUCAGUCUACCUCUCACAAAAGAAAAAAAAAACUGUCUUAGAAAAGAGUAUUUUCUCAGCAUUUCUCACAUGUGCACCUCCAUCUCUAAAGAGCUGCUCUUACCCUACAGUUCUGUGUGUGUAAUCAUCAUUCUUAUCUCUCAAUCCCCCCGUCACGUCCCUCUACUCCUGUGUUUAUGUGCUUAGCAGAUUCUUAGUCCCAGCAUACACGUCUCAUAUAUCAUAUAUAUGCUGAGGAUCAGACCCAAGACCUUAAGCAUAUGACACACCUGCUGUACCACUGAGCUACAUCCUCAGCCCCUCAUUAUAUUAACCUGAUAAAUAUUUAGCCUCAUUUCAACUCUUGGAUGGGUGGUAGAUGGAAAAAGAUAAUCCCAGCAAUUUCAUUAAUGGCAAGUUCUCUAGAAUCAGGGAACCUGUUUCAUUUCUCUCCAUAGUCCCCACAGAACUUGGGUCUGCACACAGUAGGCCCUCAGUAAAAGCCAACUAAAUGAAUUAAUGCUAGAUCUUGGUAUUAAAGUUCUCAUUCAAAGUGAAGCUAUUUCAGAAGCAAUAUGGAAACGAGGAGUCAGGAGCUCUAGAAG